GCGGGUGUAGUAUAAUGGCAAUACGCAACCUUCCCAAGGUUGAGUUGUGGGUUCGAUUCCCAUCACCCGCU
rnacentral:tRNA from 1 species